AAAAAAACACCCUUGAACUUAUCAUUCCUUCAGCUCAUCAUAAUUCUUGUUUCUGACAAAUUUUGUCGGUUAGUUUUUGUUUUCCUCAGAUUAGUAGUAGCUAUCCAGAUCUGCUCGCACGCGGAAGAGUAUGGACAGCUUAUCACUGGGCUCAGCCAACAUUACACUCUGAAAGAUUGGUGCUUUUUGUACGUCACCCCAGCUCGUGAGUUUACGGACCAUAUUAUGAUGACGGCCUUGGCCAGAGCGCUUGAGGUACCCCUCAGACUGGAGCGGCUCCAUGGAGUAGGAUCUGAUGAAGAUAACAUCUACACUGGGCCUGGAGAUGUGAGUGUGACGUUGCUGUACACGGGUAAUCACUACGACAUCAUCUACCCACGUCCUGUGCUGGUAGAACAUCCUGCUGAUUAGAGUUCAAGCCAACAGAUUCUGCUGAGUUGAAGUUGAGUUUGGUUGCUGCCUACGAACGAGAGCGUUGCUGGGUUUGGUGGUAGAGAGUUAGACAUGGACUGAUGUAGUAGGAGUAGGCAUGGCAUAAACUUGUGCAUUCUUCUUCUGUUUGCCCAAACUGCUGGUGCCGAUUGAUUGAUCACAGGAUGCUCCUUUGUCUGAA